AGCCCAAAAUUGCAAUAGUUCUUCAGUCAUUAGUUAUUUAGUUUUCUUUUUUAGUUUUAGUUUUUAGAGAUAGAAUAAUUAAGAGAGUGCAAUAUAAUAGAGUGGA